AGUGAACGCUGGCGGUAGGCCUAACACAUGCAAGUCGAACGGCAGCACAGUAAGAGCUUGCUCUUACGGGUGGCGAGUGGCGGACGGGUGAGGAAUACAUCGGAAUCUACUUUUUCGUGGGGGAUAACGUAGGUAAACUUACGCUAAUACCGCAUACGACCUACGGGUGAAAGCAGGGGAUCUUCGGACCUUGCGCGAUUGAAUGAGCCGAUGUCGGAUUAGCUAGUUGGCGGGGUAAAGGCCCACCAAGGCGACGAUCCGUAGCUGGUCUGAGAGGAUGAUCAGCCACACGGGAGCUGAGCCACGGUCCAGACUCCUGCGGGAGGCAGCAGUGGGGAAUAUUGGACAAUGGGGGCAAGCCUGAUCCAGCCGUACCGCGUGGGUGAAGAAGGCCUUCGGGUUGUAAAGCCCUUUUGUUGGGAAAGAAAAGCAGCAGGUUAAUACCCCGCUGUUCUGACGGUACCCAAAGAAUAAGCACCGGCUAACUUCGUG
rnacentral:rRNA from 1 species